rnacentral:rRNA from 1 species
AUUGAACGCUGGCGGCAGGCCUAACACAUGCAAGUCGAACGAGUGGCGGACGGGUGAGUAAUGUCUGGGAAACUGCCUGAUGGAGGGGGAUAACUACUGGAAACGGUAGCUAAUACCGCAUACCAUCGGAUGUGCCCAGAUGGGAUUAGCUAGUAGGUGGGGUAAAGGCUCACCUAGGCGACGAUCCCUAGCUGGUCUGAGAGGAAGACCAGCCACACGUGAAAGGAGUCACGGUCCAGACUCCUACGAGAGGGAGAAGUGGGAAAUAUGGAACAAUGGGCGAAAUCCUGAUGCAGCCAUGCCGCGUGUAUGAAGAAGGCCUUCGGGUUGUAAAGUACUUUCAGCGGGGAGGCGUUACCCGCAGAAGAAGCACCGGCUAACUCCGUGCCAGCAGCCGCGGUAAUAC